rnacentral:lncRNA from 1 species
AGAAGUUCUGCUCCGGGAAAUCAGCACAGUAUGCUAGUACUGUGCUGAUCCUUCUUCGAUGGUUGAUCAGGUGCCUCCUUCUUUUUGAUUUGGACUCUUCUAAAGAUGAGAAAUAGGAGGAGGAGUUUCAGAUCUGAGACACUCUUAAGAAACUCAAGAUGGAAGAAGGAAAAAGAUGAAACUAACAACCCUAGAAGAAGACCC